AUGUCGUUCCGCAGCAUAGUUCGUGAUGUCAGGGACGGUUUCGGCAGCCUGUCGAGGCGGAGCUUCGAGGUGACCAUCUCCGGCCUGUCCGGCCUCACCGGGCACCACAGGGGCAAGUGCCAGAGCACGGUGCACGAGCUCCGCGACGCCGAUCUCAUAGUCCAGGAGAGCCGCUGGGCGAGCCUCCCUCCCGAGCUCCUCAGCGACGUGAUCCGGAGGCUGGAGGCAAGCGAGAGCACAUGGCCGUCGCGCAAGCAUGUGGUGUCCUGCGCGGCCGUUUGCAAGGCGUGGAGGGAGAUGUGCAGGGAGAUUGUUACGAGCCCAGAGUUUUGCGGAAAGCUCACCUUCCCCGUGUCUCUAAAGCAGCCUGGCCCUCGAGAUGGAAUGAUUCAGUGUUUUAUAAAGCGAGAUAAAUCGAAGUCUACUUAUCAUCUCUACUUGUGCCUGACUAAUGCGGUACUUGUGGAGAAUGGAAAGUUCCUCUUGUCUGCUAAAAGGAUCCGCAGGACAACCUGCACAGAAUAUGUUAUCUCAAUGGAUGCUGAAAACAUCUCAAGAUCAAGCAGCACCUAUAUUGGAAAACUGAGGUCAAACUUCCUCGGCACAAAAUUCAUAGUAUAUGACACGCAGCCCCCCUACAAUGGGGCUUUAGUUCCUCCGGUUGGACGGAGUAGCCGGAGAUUCAACUCCAAGAAAGUGUCUCCCAAGGUGCCAUCCGGCAGCUACAACAUAGCUCAGGUGUCUUACGAGCUAAAUGUUCUUGGCACGAGGGGCCCUAGGCGGAUGAACUGCAUCAUGCACUCCAUACCGGCCUCGUCGGUUGAGCCGGGCGGCGUAGUCCCUGGGCAGCCUGACCAGAUCAUGCCCCGAGCUCUAGAGGACUCGUUUCGCAGCAUGAGCUCCUUCUCCAAGUCAUCCAUCAUGGACCGGUCCACGGAUUUCAGCAGCUCCCGUUAUUUCAGCAGCUCCCGGUUUUUGUCGGACAUCGCCGGAGGCGCGAUAAGCCGCGACGAGGACGGAGAGAGCAAGGAGAGGCCGCUGGUGCUCCGCAACAAGGUUCCGAGGUGGCACGAGCAGCUGCAGUGCUGGUGCCUCAACUUCCGCGGCCGCGUGACCAUCGCGUCGGUGAAGAACUUCCAGCUGAUCGCGGCGCCGAGCCAGCCCCCGCCCCCUGCCGCGGGGACGCCGGCGCCGACCCCGGCCCCCUCGCAGCCCGCCCCGGCGCCGGAGCAGGACAAGAUCAUCCUGCAGUUCGGCAAGGUGUCCAAGGACAUGUUCACCAUGGACUACCGCUACCCGCUGUCGGCGUUCCAGGCCUUCGCAAUGUGCCUGAGCAGCUUCGACACGAAGCUGGCCUGUGAAUAA
rnacentral:rRNA from 1 species